rnacentral:rRNA from 1 species
GAGGGGGGCCCCCGGAAAGGGGGGGAGAAAGGGGUUGAAUGGGGGGCACGCGGAAAAACUUUCCAGGGUGUGGCAACCUUUGGCCACGCUGUGGCUACGUCUGUACGUAUGGGGACAAAGGGACAGGUGGUGCAUGGUUGUCGUCAGCCCGUGUCGUGAGAUGUUGGGUUAAGUCCCGCAACGAGCGCAACCCUUGAUUUUAGUUGCCAGCAUGUAGUUGGGCACUCUAAAGUGACUGCCGGUGCAAGCCGGGGGAAGGUGGGGAUGACGUCAAAUCAUCAUGCCCCUUAUGACCUGGGCUACACACGUGCUACACUGGAUAGUACAAAGGGUCGGGACGCCCGGAGGGGGGGUGUAACCUGGCACUUUUUACCCCCCUCCGAUCCCACGAGGG